rnacentral:rRNA from 1 species
AGGAUGAACGCUGGCGGCGUGCCUAAUACAUGCAAGUCGAGCGGCAGCGCAGGGUGCUUGCACCCUGGCGGCGAGCGGCGGACGGCUGAGUAACGCGUAGGAACGUACCCUAAAGUGAGGAAUAACUGCCCGAAAGGGUGGCUAAUGCCGCAUGUGCUCUUCGGAGUAAAGCUUCGGCGCUUUGGGAACGGCCUGCGUCCGAUUAGCUAGUUGGUAAGGUAAUGGCUUACCAAGGCUACGAUCGGUAGCUGGUCUGAGAGGAUGACCAGCCAGACUGGGACUGAGAACGGCCCAGACUCCUACGGGAGGCAGCAGUAGGGAAUUUUCCGACAAUGGGCGAAAGCCUGAUGGAGCAACGCCGCGUGCAGGAUGAAGGCCUUCGGGUCGUAACUGCUUUCUCUGUGAAGAUUAUGACGGUAACAGAAGAAUAAGGAUCUGCUAACUACGCGCCAGCAGCCGCGGU